rnacentral:rRNA from 1 species
AUUGAACGCUGGCGGCAUGCCUUACACAUGCAAGUCGAACGGCAGCACGGGGCAACCUGGUGGCGAGUGGCGAACGGGUGAGUAAUGCAUCGGAACGUACCUUUCAGUGGGGGAUAACGUAGCGAAAGUUACGCUAAUACCGCAUAUUCUGUGAGCAGGAAAGCAGGGGAUCGCAAGACCUUGCGCUGAUUGAGCGGCCGAUGUCAGGUUAGCUAGUUGGUGAGGUAAAGGCUCACCAAGGCGACGAUCUGUAGCGGGUCUGAGAGGAUGAUCCGCCACACUGGAACUGAGACACGGUCCAGACUCCUACGGGAGGCAGCAGUGGGGAAUUUUGGACAAUGGGGGCAACCCUGAUCCAGCCAUGCCGCGUGAGUGAAGAAGGCCUUCGGGUUGUAAGGCUCUUUCGGCCGGGAAGAAAUCGCACGGGCUAAUACCCUGUGUGGAUGACGGUACCGGAAUAAGAAGCACCGGCUAACUACGUGCCAGCAGCCGCGGUAACAC